rnacentral:rRNA from 1 species
UUAAUUGAAGAGUUUGAUCAUGGCUCAGAUUGAACGCUGGCGGCAGGCCUAACACAUGCAAGUCGAGCGGCAGCGACAAUAACAAUCCUUCGGGUGCGUUAUUGGGCGGCGAGCGGCGGACGGGUGAGUAAUGCCUGGGAACAUGCCUUAGUGUGGGGGAUAACCAUUGGAAACGAUGGCUAAUACCGCAUAAUCUCUACGGAGCAAAGAGGGGGACCUUCGGGCCUC